rnacentral:rRNA from 1 species
AAUCAACGCUGGCGGCGCGCCUAAUACAUGCAAGUCGAGCGAGAAGACGUAGCAAUACGUUUGUAAAGCGGCGAACGGGUGAGGAAUACAUGGGUAACCUACCCUAGAGUGGGGAAUAACUAGCCGAAAGGUUAGCUAAUACCGCGUACGCUCCUUGGACUUCGGUUCAGGGAGGAAAGCGAUGCCGAGGGUAUCGCGCUCUUGGAUGGGCUCAUGUCCUAUCAGCUUGNGGUGAGGUAACGGCUCACCAAGGCUUCGACGGGUAGCUGGUCUGAGAGGACGAUCAGCCACACUGGCACUGCGACACGGGCCAGACUCCUACGGGAGGCAGCAGUAAGGAAUAUUGCGCAAUGGGCGAAAGCCUGACGCAGCGACGCCGCGUGGGGGA